GUUUAGAGGAAUGUUGUUUGGCUCGAGGUCAUGGAGAGUAAUUCGUUACCAAAACACAAAACUCUAAAUGAUUCUCGGACCAGGCUUCAUUCCCCUCAAC
rfam:Arabidopsis lyrata subsp. lyrata unplaced genomic scaffold ARALYscaffold_8, whole genome shotgun sequence.